UCAAGCCAAACCAUAUCAUCAACACAUGCAUUCACUUCAAAAAUUCAUAAAUCAAUGAAAACAGUUAAUAAAUGAAUGGGACCAAAACAGGGAUGUCCUACAAUGUGUCUACAACCAUCAUACCAAAUUUCAUGUUUAUCCAAAACCAUAUGAGCAUUUCACAUUAAAUUUACAAACAUGUGUCACAUGAACUUGCAUAAUUGACCAACAGAGAUGAAAAAUAUCAAUCAAAUUGAAAAUGCCACAUAAAAAUCCAGAAAAAUUC
rnacentral:lncRNA from 1 species